rnacentral:lncRNA from 1 species
CAAACAGUUCUUCAGCUUAGUUUUCCUACUAAGAAGAGUUACUAUUUGACACCGACCGUGCCUAGAGCAAGUGGCAAAGGUCUUGGUGGUUGGUACUCGAAACCCAAGUUCGAAUCCUAGUUGAUUCACAUUUCUUUAUUUCUAAAUGAAAUAAAACGAAACGAAUAGUGUGCUACCUAUCUCUCUCUCAAAAAAAAAAAAAAAAAACACUCUGGUGGAUUAGAUACAAAAAAAAUAAACAAAGCGGAUAGCGUACUAUCUAUCUCUCAAAAAAAAAGUUACUAUUUGACAUUUUGCUCAUUUAAUGACUUUUCAAAACCCAUAUCUGACUUAAA